GACGAACGCUGGCGGCGUGCUUAACACAUGCAAGUCGAACGGAGUGGCGAACGGGUGAGUAACACGUGGGUGAUCUGCCUUGCACUUCGGGAUAAGCUUGGGAAACUGGGUCUAAUACCGGAUAGUGCAAGAUGAGCUCGCGGCCUAUCAGCUUGUUGGUGGGGUAAUGGCCUACCAAGGCGUCGACGGGUAGCCGGCCUGAGCGGGUGUACGGCCACAUUGGGACUGAGAUACGGCCCAGACUCCUACGGGGGGCAGCAGUGGGGAAUAUUGCAAAAUUGACGGAACACUGAUGCAGCGAGGCCGAGUGGGGUAUGAAGGCAAACGGGUUGUAAACUCCUUUCGGCCGGGACGCGGUACCUGUAUAAGAAGCACCGGCUAACUACGUGCCAGCAGCCGCGGUAAUUC
rnacentral:rRNA from 1 species